rnacentral:rRNA from 1 species
GCGUUGUUGGGUAGGGGAGCGUUCUGUAAGCCGUUGAAGGUGGCCUGUGAGGGUUGCUGGAGGUAUCAGAAGUGCGAAUGCUGACAUAAGUAACGAUAAAGCGGGUGAAAAGCCCGCUCGCCGGAAGACCAAGGGUUCCUGUCCAACGUUAAUCGGGGCAGGGUGAGUCGACCCCUAAGGCGAGGCUGAAAAGCGUAGUCGAUGGGAAACAGGUUAAUAUUCCUGUACUUGGUGUUACUGCGAAGGGGGGACGGAGAAGGCUAGGCUAGCCGGGCGACGGUUGUCCCGGUUUAAGCGUGUAGGGGGUGUGACCUGGUAAAUCCGGUUGCAUAUCAACCCUGAGGCGUGAUGACGAUGCACUACGGUGCAGAAGUAGUUGAUGCCCUGCUUCCAGGAAAAGCCUCUAAGCUCCAGGUAACAUUGAAUCGUACCCCAAACCGACACAGGUGGUCAGGUAGAGAAUACCAAGGCGCUUGAGAGAACUCGGGUGAAGGAACUAGGCAAAAUGGUGCCGUAACUUCGGGAGAAGGCACGCUGGCAUGUAGGUGAAGUCCCUUGCGGAUGGAGCUGAAGCCAGUCGAAGAUACCAGCUGGCUGCAACUGUUUAAUAAAAACACAGCACUGUGCAAACACGAAAGUGGACGUAUACGGUGUGACGCCUGCCCGGUGCUGGAAGGUUAAUUGAUGGGGUCAGCCGCAAGGCGAAGCUCUUGAUCGAAGCCCCAGUAAACGGCGGCCGUAACUAUAACGGUCCUAAGGUAGCGAAAUUCCUUGUCGGGUAAGUUCCGACCUGCACGAAUGGCGUAAUGAUGGCCAGGCUGUCUCCACCCGAGACUCAGUGAAAUUGAACUCGCUGUGAAGAUGCAGUGUACCCGCGGCAAGACGGAAAGACCCCGUGAACCUUUACUAUAGCUUGACACUGAACAUUGAGCCUUGAUGUGUAGGAUAGGUGGGAGGCUUUGAAGCGUGGACGCCAGUCUGCGUGGAGCCAUCCUUGAAAUACCACCCUUUAAUGUUUGAUGUUCUAACUCGGCCCCAUAAUCUGGGGUGAGGACAGUGUCUGGUGGGUAGUUUGACUGGGGCGGUCUCCUCCCAAAGAGUAACGGAGGAGCACGAAGGUUAGCUAAUCACGGUCGGACAUCGUGAGGUUAGUGCAAAGGCAUAAGCUAGCUUGACUGCGAGAGUGACGGCUCGAGCAGGUACGAAAGUAGGUCUUAGUGAUCCGGUGGUUCUGAAUGGAAGGGCCAUCGCUCAACGGAUAAAAGGUACUCCGGGGAUAACAGGCUGAUACCGCCCAAGAGUUCAUAUCGACGGCGGUGUUUGGCACCUCGAUGUCGGCUCAUCACAUCCUGGGGCUGAAGUAGGUCCCAAGGGUAUGGCUGUUCGCCAUUUAAAGUGGUACGCGAGCUGGGUUUAGAACGUCGUGAGACAGUUCGGUCCCUAUCUGCCGUGGGCGUUGGAAGAUUGAGAGGGGUUGCUCCUAGUACGAGAGGACCGGAGUGAACGCACCACUGGUGUUCGGGUUGUCAUGCCAAUGGCAUUGCCCGGUAGCUAAGUGCGGAAAAGAUAAGCGCUGAAAGCAUCUAAGCGCGAAACUUGCCUCAAGAUGAGUCUUCCCUG